AAGGGUUUAAUUCACUAAGAGCAGCAGUAGAUGAGGAUUUAGAACGAAUAGAAAGUCGAUCACAGCAUUGGAAAAGCCCCUAACUUCAUUAUCGGAGGUAGCAUUACAAAACAGGAGGGGGAUGGAUAUCCUUUUCCUACAGCAAGGUGGGCUCUGCAACAUUAAGGAAGGGCUGGGAA